rnacentral:rRNA from 1 species
UACAGAGGGUGCAAGCGUUGCUCGGAUUUACUGGGCGUAAAGCGUACGCAGACGGCAAGGUAGGUCGAAUGUGAAAGCCCCGGGCUCAACCCGGGAAAUGCAUCCGAAACCCCCUUGCUCGAGUAUGAGAGAGGGAAGCGGAAUUCCUGGUGUAGAGGUGAAAUUCGUAGAUAUCAGGAGGAACAUCGGCGGCGAAGGCGGCUUCCUGGCUCAUUACUGACGUUCAGGUACGAAAGCGUGGGUAGCAAAC